rnacentral:tRNA from 1 species
GCCUUCUUAGCUCAGUGGUUAGAGCACUGGUCUUGUAAACCAGGGGAUAUGAGUUCGAAUCUCAUAGGGGUCU